GUCACUAGAAUGAAGACAAGCAAUUUUAACGGAUUCUAAAGGGAAUCAUAUAAUUCCAAACUUCUAUGGCAACACCGUUGUCAAUUCAGUUAACAAUUAUUUUCGAACGUGUGUUGCCAAGAGACAUCUAACCGACGUUCUAUGGAAUGUUUUCUGGGCGAAAACAACAACUGUAGUUUGCUGCUGACAACGAACUUGUUUGAUUUUUGAGACCUGAAAUAGAACAAUCGAGGGGAAAAUGCCUGGGUGAUUUUCAAGACUGGCGGAGAGAGUGCGUGGACGUCGGCGGCCUACUGCGUCGACAGGUUGUUCAAAUUCAUUUGUGGCUUGUUCUUCUUGUCUUUUUCUGUUUUGCUGGGUUCGUGAUCAUCGACAGUUGGACAGCGACAGCGACUUCGAAGAGGAAACAAUUGUCCUGGAUGAAGUCCAGUUGGAUGUGCCAUUGGUUGAUGUGCCAGAUGUUCCACAACUGACAGUCCUCCUUGAUGUCCAGAAUGCUGCUAUCAUCCUUGGGGAUGUGCCAGAUGUGCAGACUAUCCUUGAGCAGGCCACUGGCAAUUGGCAGUUGAUUCAGAUUAGGUUCAGCCCCCUGUACUGUGGGCCUGUAGUGAUCAGG